GAGUAAAAAUUACUGCUUACUGUUUUCUUCCGCUACGGAAACCAAACCCAGUUUCCAGAGAGGAGGAGACAUGGAGGUUUGAAGUUAAGGGCCAAAACCUCGCUUUUUGUGCUCACCGCCGCCGGACUCGCCUCCUACGGCUCCUCCAACUCUGCCAAUACAACCAAUUUUCCCCUUAGCUUCUUAAACGGCUUCGUUCGCUCCUCCCCUCUUUACCAUCACCUGUUGCGUGCUUUACUACAAGUACUCAUUGCACGGUUUACCAGCUGAUUCCGACGAGUAUGGAUACACACUAUCUCAGGUCUUUAAAUCUACCGCUAUUUUAGGCGAAUGUUUAGCCCUGUUUCUUGAUUUUCAUCCUAUAUUUUUAUUUUACUUUCAAGUUAACUCCGUUUGAUCAUGUGAUGCUAAUAGUUCAGUAUAAAAUUUUGCUAUUAUCAUCUAGCCAUGGGGUUUAAGUUGCAGUGAUAUCAACUCGUGUUGCCAAUCAAUAUCCGUAGAGCAUGAAAAUGUUGAGAGGGAUUUCUCUGAAGCAUUCCAAUGCAACUCUAAUCUAUCAUCUUCCAUUUACCCGUCUUUACUUUUGGCAAUACUGUGCUGUUCCUGUCAUAUUUACAUCCCGUGCUGAAUUCAAUGUUAUAUACCGGCAGUCAUGUCAUGUUCCUCGUCAUUAAGUAUACUUCGUGGCGCUAUUUCUGCUCUUGGUAGUUCCCCUAUUACUGUUGUCCGAUGUUUUCUGCUUCCUGGUUUUGUAUCUGUUUUUUUCCAAUGAAAAUGAUGGUGGAAAAAAUAAAUAAUUAGAGUGUAUCUGCAUAGUUUUUAAUGUUUUAAAUUUAAUUUCAUCAUUGUUAUCAUUUGCAUUGAGGAAAGUUUCUUGUGUUUGAUUAAUGUUUUGUGGCAAUUUAAAGAUCCAUCUAAGAUCAGCUAGAAGGAUCCAAAACUUAUGUGACACCAACAAAGGUUUCUAUGUAAAGGCUGGCCAGUUUGUUGCUGCAGCACGACAAGUUCCUAGAGAAUAUUCGUCUACACUUUCAUCUUUACAAGAUCAGGCAGUUCCAUGUAAUUUUGAAGAUGUCUAGGAAGUUAUAGUAAAGAGUCUGGGGAAGGACAUGUCAGAGAUAAUUUGGUGGCAAAAUGAGCCAGUUCUCUGGGCAGUGUGGUCUAAAACAUUAGUUACUGCAUUUUCUAGUUGUUCCCGGAGUACAGGUUCUAGUGGAUGGUAUCAGAAUUUACAAAGUCUAUUGCGUCUGAACUUGAUUUCAUUCAAGAGGCUAAAAACUCAGAGAGCAGCAAAUAAUUUUAAAAGCAACAAGCUGGCCAAGUUCCCUUAUGUUUAUUGGGAUUUCGCAUGCAAGAAGGUGUUGACAAUGGAAUUUUGUGAAGGACAUAAGAUUGAUGAUUUGGAAUAUUUGAAGCGAAUGGGAAUCAAUCCACUUGAGGUAGCCAAAACCCUCAUAGAUGUCUUUGCUGAGAUGAUAUUUGUUCAUGGUUUCCUCCAUGGGGACCCGCAUCCUGGAAACAUAUUAGUUUCUCCAGAUAGGCACAAUGGCUUUUCUUUGGUCAUUCUGGAUCAUGGGAUCUAUAAACAGUUACCUGAAGAAUUCAGAAAGAGCUAUUGCCAUCUCUGGGAGGCCUUAAUUAGACUUGAUUCACAAAAAAUACAGCAUCUGGGUGAAACCUUUGGUGUUGGGAAGUAUGCCAGAUAUUUUCCUGUUAUAUUUACUGGAAGAACCAUUAAUAGGUACUCUCUAUGGCUUCCUCCUUUCAUUUGUUUUUUUCUGCCAGGGAUGAGAGUUCUGCUUCUAAGUUAUUGUCACCAUUUCCUCUUUGCAUUGGAUGAUGGAUUUAUCCUUACAUACCUAAAUGCUCAUGUUCUGAACUAAUUGAAAUAAGUUGAAACUGUCUUUUUAUGGCUUUCUUGCUUUUGCUUCCAAUGCUAAGUGCACUGAUUAUAUGUGGAUGUAAUGCUGAUUCUGUUUAAAUAACUGAAGUAAAUCAGUUCUUGGGAGAGGAAUGUCGCCUGAAGAGAAGGAACAUUUAAGGGACAAAGUGAAAUCUUUAAAAAUGGAGUACAUCAAUUAGAUCAAUUGGGUGAACUAAUAUUCCGGUUGGAUAUUUGACAGCUUAUUUUGAUUGCGACCUUCAUUUUGUCUCUCAUUCAUCGACAAUAAAUGACAUCUGAUGGCAUCUAGUUAUAAGACCUAGAAGGAUAUUUGUGUACUUGAUUAUGAAAGUUGCAAUUUUUUAAAACUCAAGUCCAAAGAUGCUGAUACUGCAACAAUGUUUAUGAGCUCUUCUGCACUUGAUUCAAUCAUUAUAUAUCUUGUAACUCGUGGUGAAUGAGUAAGUUUGAGAUUGUGCAGUGUACGUUGCAUCCAGAUUGAAGACGAGUAUCAGAUACAUUCAGCUGAGGGUAAUUCUGGGUAUUAUGGAGUUCAUAAGCUACGUGGAUGAAAGAGGACGCUCGUUGGCUACAAAACUGAGGCGGUUGAUGUAUCAAAUAUGGAGUUUAGCUCCCAUUCCCUUGUCAAAUUGAGAGGUGACUGUAAUUUAUCACAUUCCUUAUAGAAUUUGUAGCAUCGAAUGAUGUUGGUGGUGGUGGUGAUUAUGGGUAGAUGCUAAAUCUUGUUGGACGCCAAUUUUGGUUCAUAAUAUUUUUGGGCAAAAAGUGGGGAAACAUCAAUUCAUUAUGAUUUACUAGUAA